CAAUAGCGUAUAUUAAAGUUGUUGCGGUUAAAAAGCUCGUAGUUGGAUUUCUGUUGAGGAUGGGCGGUCCGCACAUCGUGCGUGUAUCUGUUACAGCCUCGGCAUCCUCUUGAAGAACGAACUGUGAUUUAUUUCGUGGUUCGGAAUUCAAGACUUUUACUUUGAGGAAAUUAGAGUGUUCACGGCAAGCAAUCGCUUUGAAUACAUUAGCAUGGAAUAAUACUAUAGGAUCUCGGUUCUAUUUUUGUUGGUUUCUAGACCCGGGGGUAAUGAUUAAUAGGGACGAAUUGGGGGUCGAUUUGUAUCAACACGUCAGAGGUGGAAUUCUUGGAUUGUGUUGCGACAAACUACUGCGAAAGCAUUUGCCAAGGAUGUUUUCAUUGAUCAAGAACGAAAGUAAGGGGA
rnacentral:rRNA from 1 species